ensembl:lncRNA
AGGAUCCAGAAUUCCCAGCCCUCAUUCUGGGGUUGGCAGUGGAGGUGAGGGGAUAUUGCUGGAGAUCCCUGCAUACCUGAGGCCUUCUAAAGCCCCAGGGAAGCAGCAGUGAUGUGGACAUACCGUUCCAGGUGGGAUUAUUGUCCUCACGGUCUGGGGCUCCUGGAAUUACCUUUGCCCAAAGCAAAGCCUCCACCUGCGUGCUUGCAAGCCAUUAAUGCCUAACUAAAUGACACCGCUGGAGCCAGGAAUGAAGGUCAGCUGUGUAGAGCUGAAUGGAGCUAUUUCUCCUGUGCAGUGAUGCUGUGCCACCCGAGCUCCUGCGUAACGCUGAAGCGCAGUGAUGGGGACUGUCCCGUCCAGCAGACAGCAAUGGAUACAUAAAUAUGAGCACAGAGCUGCUGUGUUGGCUCCCCAGGACCACCGUACCCAUUAUGCUGCAGUUUGACCUCCGGCCAGGCACUUGUAAAUGGAGAAACUUCAGAAAUAAAUGAUGUUUUCUCCCCAGCCCCUCCUUCAGCCUCCUGCCUGCUCUCAGUGAAGGAUUGCUGCUGCAAACAGAGCAGUCUGAAUUAAGCUGUCCUGGCGGACCGCACAGAGCCCACAGGCCAGAGGUUAAGUGCUCCUGCAACAAAGCACAGGCUGCUCAUGGGUCACUGAGAACAGAUGCCAAACAACGAGUUACGACUGCUCUGGAGGCACCCAGACAGAAAGGUUCCUGCCUGCUGCUGCCAACCUCAGCCUCUGCACCAACCUUGGGAUCUGCAGUUUGCUCCCAGAAGCAUCGAUGCUCAGUGCUAAACCGGCACUGCUGGAACAAAGGAGGUUGGCAAAAUAAAUCUGCCCACAUUACAUCCACCCACUGUUGGGCACAGAACGGUUUCCAUACACGUUAUCCCGCUGCACAACCUCAGCAGAGCAAUUAUUAAUGAGCAGAGAGACAAAGUCAUCCCACAC